AAUAAAAGGAAAUAAUCUUAAAACUUUUUGCAUAUGAUGAUGUACAUGGAUUGUAAAAAGAAGUGGCAGGAAAAGAACCAAGAAUGCAUAUAAACUGUAAAAUAAGGGACUGAUCUACAAAAAUAUCAAUCAAAGGAAGCAUGACUUGAAAAAAGAUGACAUGAGCAUGGAGGCAAUGGCAGAUUCAAGGAAUUAUGCUACUGAGAUGGACAUAAAAAAGGAAGAAAAGGAAAGUCAAGAAGAUGUGGUAACAAUAGGAAAACAGCCAAUAUUACAGAAAUGACAAAAUUGAGUUCAAAACCUUUUGAUUAGAACCCUAAAAAGCAGCCACCAACCACUCUCUCCAAAAGAAAAAGAUAGAGACAAAGCCAUUCAAACAGACAGCUACCUACACAGAGGCUGCUAAAGUUCUGAAAAUAGAUCCUUCCAUAAGAACCUCUUCAAGUCUACAAAGGUUAGGAGAAGGCCAAACAAUGCAUAUCAAAAGGUUAUGAAUUCUCAUAAGGAAGAGAAGCAAUUCAUACCAUAGAUUAAGGUAAUUACAUUACUUUCCAAAAUACUUAUACUACUUAUCAGGUAAUUACAUUACUUUCCAGAAUAUAUUGCAAGAUAAUUACAUUACUUUCCAGAAUACUUAUCCUACUGCUUUCAAACCAUAAAUUAAGGAACCUUCUUCAAUUGUGUUAUUUGCGGAUAGAAUAUAUUGCAAUAUUACUAUGUAAUUUCAAAUAUUUAUUGAAUGUUUCUCCUAUAUUUACGGACACCAAUAUUUACAUCCCAAAUUCUACAAAUUACAUAUACAUAGAUACUGACCUAUUCUUUAACUUUUUCAGGGAAAAAUUGCAUUGUGAACAGGUUUAAUACUCUAAAAAAUUGCUUAGCAAGAAAGAUAUAUUUAGAGAUUAAGAUGUCUCCUCUCUCUCUGUCUCUCUUGUAUUCUCUCUCUCGUCUCUCCAUCUCUCCUGUCUUAUAUUUCAUAUUCUAAUUUGUGAGUUGAUGCUCUUCCCUAUAUUGUUAAAUAAUACUAAAUAUCAGAUUUUAUAAUUACAAAUACCGACUUGGUGAA